GACGAACGCUGGCGGCGUGCUUAACACAUGCAAGUCGAUCGGAAAGGCCUGCUUUCCCUUGUGGAUUGCGGGUACUCGAGUGGCGAACGGGUGAGUAACACGUGAGUGAUCUGCCCCCAACUUGGGUAUAAGCCUGGGAAACUGGGUCUAAUUCCCGAUAGGACUGCAGGGUGGUGCCUGUGGUGGAAAACGAUUUUCUAGUGGUUGGGGAUGAGCUCGCGGCCUAUCAGCUUGUUGAUGGGGUAAUGGCCUACCAAGGCGGCGACGGGUAGCCGGCCUGAGAGGGUGGACGGCCACAUUGGGACUGAGAUACGGCCCAGACUCCUACGGGAGGCAGCAGUGGGGAAUAUUGCACAAUGGGCGGAAGCCUGAUGCAGCGACGCCGCGUGGGGGAUGACGGCCUUCGGGUUGUAAACUCCUUUCGACCGCGAGGAAGCCACCUGGUUGGAAGGGUGGUGACGGUAGUGGUAGAAGAAGCACCGGCUAACUACGUG
rnacentral:rRNA from 1 species